ACUCCUACGGGAGGCAGCAGUGGGGAAUAUUGCACAAUGGGCGCAAGCCUGAUGCAGCCAUGCCGCGUGUGUGAAGAAGGCCUUCGGGUUGUAAAGCACUUUCAGUUGUGAGGAAGGUGGUGUCGUUAAUAGCGGCAUCAUUUGACGUUAGCAACAGAAGAAGCACCGGCUAACUCCGUGCCAGCAGCCGCGGUAAUACGGAGGGUGCGAGCGUUAAUCGGAAUUACUGGGCGUAAAGCGCAUGCAGGUGGUUUGUUAAGUCAGAUGUGAAAGCCCGGGGCUCAACCUCGGAACUGCAUUUGAAACUGGCAGGACUAGAGUACUGUAGAGGGGGGUAGAAUUUCAGGUGUAGCGGUGAAAUGCGUAGAGAUCUGAAGGAAUACCGGUGGCGAAGGCGGCCCCCUGGACAGAUACUGACACUCAGAUGCGAAAGCGUGGGGAGCAAACAGGAUUAGAUACCCUGGUAGCACAGAG
rnacentral:rRNA from 1 species